GCUUGGGAAAUGUGGCAGUUUCGAGACCUAACAAUCUGAGAAAGCUUGUCAUCCUCCUAAGGACGUAGGCUUCAAAGACUAAAAAGAAUGAUGAGUUCUUGAUAUUCACAGCUGAGCCUGCCAUCUUGUGGCCAAGGACAUUCAUUAAAUAUACAGUACACACAAGUUUCAACUUGUGAUAUGGAAAAGUUCAGGCAGUCCAGACUUGUGAAGUCUAAGAAGCUGAAUUCUCUACUGGAGAAAACAACAAGUUGAAUAAAUUACUGUUACUCUGCAA